GAUGAACGCUGGCGGCGUGCUUAACACAUGCAAGUCGAACGAAGACAUCUGAGUGCUUGCACUUGGAUGGACUGAGUGGCGGACGGGUGAGUAACGCGUGGGUAACCUGCCUUAUACAGGGGGAUAACAGUUGGAAACGACUGCUAAUACCGCAUAAGCGCACGGUAUCGCGAUGAUACAGUGUGAAAAACUCCGGUGGUAUAAGAUGGACCCGCGUCUGAUUAGCUUGUUGGUGAGGUAACGGCCCACCAAGGCGACGAUCAGUAGCCGGCCUGAGAGGGUGAACGGCCACAUUGGGACUGAGACACGGCCCAAACUCCUACGGGAGCAGCAGUGGGGAAUAUUGCACAAUGGGGGAAACCCUGAUGCAGCGACGCCGCGUGAGUGAUGAAGUAUUUCGGUAUGUAAAACUCUAUCAGCAGGGAAGAUAAUGACGGUACCUGACUAAGAAGCACCGGCUAAAUACGUGCCAGCAGCCG
rnacentral:rRNA from 1 species